rnacentral:rRNA from 1 species
GAUCAUGGCUCAGGAUGAACGCUAGCGACAGGCUUAACACAUGCAAGUCGAGGGGCAGCACAGGUAGCAAUACCGGGUGGCGACCGGCGCACAGGUGAGUAACGCGUAUGCAACUUGCCUAUCAGAGGGGGAUAACCCGGCGAAAGUCGGACUAAUACCGCAUGAAGCAGGGGUCCCGCAUGGGGAUAUUUGUUAAAGAUUCAUCGCUGAUAGAUAGGCAUGCGUUCCA